rnacentral:rRNA from 1 species
UACAGAGGUCCCAAGCGUUGUUCGGAUUUACUGGGCGUAAAGGGGGCAUAGGUGGCGGGGUAAGUCUGGUGUGAAAGCUCCGAGCUCAACUCGGAAAAGCAUUGGAAACUAUCCCGCUUGAGGGUCGGAGGGGAGACUGGAAUUCUCGGUGUAGCAGUGAAAUGCGUAGAUAUCGAGAGGAACACCAGUGGCGAAGGCGAGUCUCUGGACGACUCCUGACACUGAGGCACGAAAGCUAGGGGAGCAAACAGG